AUUCUAAUAAGGUGGCGCCUGUGAGGGUAAGAUAUAUAGAAUAAAUAUAUGAAAUAAAUUAAAUAGAUAUAUAAAAUAACUUAAAAUAGUCAAUUUAUUCUAUAUAUUUUACCCUCACAGGCGCUACCUUAUUAGAAU